AGAAAACCUACGGGACACAGAAGUUGUGGGGCUCAGCCAGGUGCGGUGGCUCUUCCCCGGCCUCUGUCCCAGUGGGGGCAGGACACACGGAUGAAGCGUCUCUUCCCACCCUGCAUGGCGACGCCCCCAUGCUGCCUGGGCACCCCAGACCUCUGCACCUUCGCUUUGCUGCUGCUUCGCCUUCUGCCUGAUUUCAUUUGAACAAAAUUCUGGGAGAUGAAAAAAGAAGCCCAAGAAACUGCAGAAUUGCUGUACUACCCUCAUGCGACUGAUGGGGAGCCUAAGGUCAGAGGGUAGGGGCCCAGGAUACUCGGCAAAAAAAAGCCAAUUCUGGGACUUGAGUUCUUUGGAUUCCUGGACAAGGCGUUUUACCCUCUGAACUCUUCCAGCCUGUCAGAUCUUUUCAAGAAGAAGAGUAAUAACCAUGUGAAGCCUGACCUUCAGGUGACCUCAGGUAUUUACUCCACUCAGCCAUCUUCUUCAAGUCCUCCAGUGAUGUCAGGACUUCUGCAUGGCUGAGCCUCCCCUGCACCCCGCAGUGGCCCUGGAGGCAGAAGGUGCUCAUCAGUCUUUAAAAGCAGAGAGGAGAGGGAGCUGCCGCUUCUAUCAGCACCAGCAGCACCGGGCAGGCCCUAGGCAACGUGCCAGGGGCUGCAUCCACAUCCUGAUUUAACCACCAUCACCAGGCUCUGGGGGAGAGAUGGCUCCCACUUCACGGAUGAGAAAAUGGGAGACGCAGGAAAAGGCGGAUGAUCAGGAGGCCUUCAGCUGCUGGAAGCUUCAAACUGAGGGGUCUCUGCUGCCAAACCCUUCCUGCUCACGUCCUCCCCCUGCUUCCGGGUACUGGUCCCCAAAGGAAGCAAGGUUUCUAUCUGCUCCUUGCUUCCUAUGUAGGUCAAAUUCCAUUCCAGCAACUCGCUGGGCCUUGCCCAGUUUGAGCCAGGACAGCCCAGGCCCAAGCUCAGAAACCUCUCGGUCACUUGGGUAGAUUUUGCUCUAAGCCCAGGUUGGUCAACUAUGGUCCGUGGCCAAAUCCAGCCUGCCAGCUAAGAAUGGGUUUUACAUUUUUAAGUGGCUGGGAAAAAAAAAAAAAGAAGGCUAAUACCUUGUGAUACAUGAAAAUUGUAAUAAAUUCAAAUUUCAGGGGAGUUCCCUGGCAGUCCAGUGGUUUCACUGCCGUGGGCCUGAGGUUCAAUCCCUGGUUGGGGAACUAAGACCCCACAAGCCGUGUGGAUCGGCCAAAAAAAAGAAAAAUUCAAAUUUCAGUUACCAUUAAUAACAUUUGAUUGGAACACAGCCACACUUGUUUGUGAAGUCUAUAUUGUUUAUGGCUGCCUUUGUGCUACAACAGCAGACCAUAUGGCCCACAGAGCCGAUGAUAUUUACUUACAAUUUAGCCCAUUACAGAAAAAAUUUGCCCAUCUCUGCUUUAAGCCCCAGGUGCUCUGAAUUGCCAAGUGCAAACCCAACACACGAGCUGCACAGGACUUUUCAAAGCCUUCCAGGCAAAACCAAAUCAUCUUCCAAAAAGGUAUUAAAUGCAAACAAAUUACUCCCUGAGUCAGCACCCGGGCAUCUGGAGAAGCUGACACCCGGAGAGGUACCCAUACAGUGGAGAGGUGGGCACCAAUUUGACUAUGAUAAGAUUAAUUUGACUAUGAUAAGAUUAAUUUAAUUAAGUAUCCCACUUGUGUGACCUUGAAAAAUCCUCUUCCCCUAAGACCUCCUGUUCUCCAUAAGAGAGGUUUCCUAAGAAUAAGAAUUUAUAUUACUAAGGAAAGACAAUACCUGAGUGCACGUUCCCAACACUGUUCUAGUCAAUGGGGAUUCAGCAAUAAACUCAACCGAAUCCUUGCUUCAUGGAACUUGAUAUUUUAGUUGGGGGCUGGCAGCAGGGGUUAGGGUGGAAGGGUAGAAAAUAAAUACCUAAAAUACAUCAGGUGGUGAGUGGUAUGAAGAAAGAAAGUGAUGAGGACAAUCAGUUCUUAAUCACGGUGCGACAUUUUGUAAUGGAAUAUUAUGCAGCUAUCGGAAAGAAUGCAACACAUCUGUAUGUACUUGAUAUGAAAAGAGUGCCAGGUAUAAAAGCAAAGUACUAAACAAUGUAUAGAAUGUACAUUUUGUGUAAGGAAGGAGAUAAUGAACUUGUAUAAUGGCACUUCCUUAUAUGUGCAGAGAGAAACACUGCAAAUAUUGGUAGGUGAACGGGAUGGGCUGCACUGGGCUGCACAGAACUAUGUAGAAAGUGUGAUCCAAUUACACUAAAUUCCAUUUAUAGGCACACAUACACACAUGCACAAAAAGAGGUCUGUGAGGGUAAACACCAAACCAUUACAACUGGGAGAAGAUGUUUACUCUCUUACUUUGCAUGCUUCUCUAUAGUUGGCUCCCUUACAGUACUUCUGUAAUUUUUAAAAAAACCCUGCAACCUGACCUAGAGAGGUAGGUAUUAUCCCUGUUACAGGUGAGGAAAUUAGCUCCAACAGGAGCUGUGGCUGGUCUGAGGUCAAAUGGUAGAGCUGUUUCUGGUGGAGCCCUUUCCUCCUCACUCCCCAGUGCCAAAAUAGUGGGGGUGAACUCUGGGCUAGGCGCUCUGGGCAGAUGUCCUGUCCAGCAGAGGCCUCAAUAGCCAAAGGCUCGUUAAGCUGGGGUCUGGUGACGGCUCUUUCCCCUUCCAGGGUACCAAGGCCCUGGGGAGGCAAAAGCCAGCAAGGUGGUGGUUCUGAAGUCUUAGAAAGAGUGAACACUGCCCUCAUUUUGCCCGAGUUCAAGGUCUGGGAGCCCUGCUCCGUUACUGCAAAACCCCAACGUUUAUGCAUUAGCUAUUGAGCUACUCCCUCCCUGGCCUGGAGGCUGGAUGGCAGAACCUUAGGCUCCACUCCAUGCCUCCCACGGAGGAGGCUGGUAACAACUGGAGGUUGGUUUGGGUGACCAGGCCUAGACACAGCCUCUCUGAGCCCAUAGGUCCAAGCAGGAGCCUUCUCAACCUCUGCCAUUCUGGGACACAGGUUACCAAACUGAGUGGCUUUGUCACCUCUCUGCCCAGGAGUGAAGUGGGGGAGGGGUGAGGUUGCAGGUCCCAAGCCAACGCUGCACGCUUCCCCUUUGUCCCAGGCCUCCCCAGCUCUGCCUUCUAGGGUGGGAGGGGGAGAGAACUGGACGCCUGUACCCUUGGGGCUGGAGCAGAGCUCUAGGCCCUGACAUCCUGUGACCAGGAGGCACUGGGUAAAGCUGAGCUCCUUGAAGUCACAAGCUGAUUACAGGCGGAUUGGGGAUUGACCCAGCUCCAGGCCAGGUAGGGUUGGUCCUGGAAUGGCUCAGCAUGGGACAGGGAUCAUCAUGGAGAUGUUUACGAUGUCCGUACACCCAAACUGGACGUGCAAAGGGUCCUUCCACUGAAAACAGCCACCACCCUGCUUGAGGGCACUGGGCAGUCUCGCCACAACCACCAUGCGGAGAGAACUUCCAUUUUACAGGGAAGAAAACCGAGGCUCUGAGGAAGGCCACUUCCCCAAAGUCAUAGUUUUAUGAGGAUGUGUUUUGUUUCCAUUCACAGAAUGCUUUCAGUUAUCAAAUUAUAUCUAAUCCAACUAUUAGACUGCAACCAGAAAGAGGUUGGAAAGUCCGGGAGUCUGGAAACUCCUGCUCAUUUGGGGUGAGUGGAAGGUGGCACAUAGGACAGGGGUGUGCAGAAAAAAACAGGUUUAAAAAAAAAAAUACUGAAGAACAUCUCAAAAUUUUUGUGACAGCCUAUCUUGGCUAAUCCUCUUUCCUUCUCUGGCCUGUUUCCUAUUUGUCAAACAGAGGGCUGGGCCAUGCACUAGAAGGUCCCUUCCUGCUGGGGACUUUCCUUUAUCCUCUUAUGCCAUCCUAGAAAGGCUGGCAGGUGUUUUGUGGUGGGAGGCUAAUAUGUGACCUUGGAAAAGUCAUUUUCCAUUGGACUGUGAUGUCAUCAUGACUUGUUAUCACCCUCACAGGGGAGGCAGGGCAGCCACAUCAGUUGACCCAUCUCUAGGCCUGGCACUCUCACCCAUGGGCUACUCUGCAAACCAGCUUCCUGACAAAACCCCUACUGGAGAACUAGCCAGCGGGAACUUUAAUGAUUUACCCGACCAAGCGAUACAGCCCGGGCAUCCUGGGACUCCCCAAAAGUUCAUGUUGCCCAAAUGCCAGACUUCUGGACAGAGGCUGCAACCCAGGUAGCAGGUCACCUGGGGCCCAGGUAGGUGCAGUGCAUCAUGGAAAUCCAGAGAAGCAAGAGAUAUUUAUGGAGCAUCUAUGGGGACAGACAGACACAUUUAUUUCUGAAUUCUUACAGACACUCUAAUGACAAAAAUGACAUCAUUCUGCAGACGUGGCAACUGAGCUAAGCUGGAAUUCAAAACCACAAAUACAGGACUUCAAAAACCUAUGCUCUUCCGUACCACUGAGGGGCUGAGGAACCCCACGGAUUUCUCAUUUCUCCUUUGUCUGGAGGGCGGAGUGGCAGAGUCCUGGGGCACGACUGGGGUGCCAGGAGGGACUAGUUGGGAGUUCUUCACAAAGGGCUGGGUGAGACAUCUGGGGGCAGGGCUCACCCUCAUCUGCUGCCCAGGACGUAGCACGAGCAAAGCACUGGCUGGGACAGGAGGGUCUUCAACCUGUGUCCUCCCUACUUCCUACUCAGUUAAACUCAGCACAAUGAGCCGCAGAGGAGCACGACAGAACGCAGGAAAGUCAGCUGAGUCAACUGAGGAGAUGAGGAGGAACAUAGCCGAAGGAACUUCAGAACUAGACACACCUGGUUUUCAGACCUUGGGCAAGUGAUAUAACUUCUCCAGGCCUCAGUUUAACCUCUUGCACAAAAGGGCUGGGCUUGCUGAUCGAAUCAGCAGCUCCAAAGGGAAGGGCUUUUUUCUAGAAUGUAUACAGGAUGAUCCAUAGAAAGUUUAGCAAAAAAAUAAAAUAAAAUAAAAAAUAAAUUUUUUUUACUAUAUCUGUAUUUGUCUUUUGAAAUUUCUACUUUAUGUAGGCAUAUAAUCUAUUAUUAUAACAGUGCACAUACAUGAAUUUAUAAAUACAGAUAACCCACUGGGAAGGAGGUGCUCCAAAAUUAUUUAUUGAUGGAGCCAGCAAUCAAAAUUUGGAGGGUACUGUAUGAAAAACACCCACCUGCUGCAGAACUGGCUGGCACAUGGGCACCCUUGAAGUUAGGCAAACUCUCUCCCCUCAGCUCAAAAUUCAAGAAAGUCUAUGGUGAAAAGGGAUAGUGUAGACUGAAAGCCCUUUCUGAUUGGCCUGGGUUCAAAUCCAGUUCAGCCACUUACUAGCUGUGUGACUUCAGGUAAGUUACUUCCCUUCUCCGAGCUCUAGGCCCCUGAACCAGCAGAGCUAUAUAUGGAGGGUCAGUGACACUGAAAAGCCUUUGAGCCCAUAGCCUAGUGAACUACAAGUGACUGUUGACUUUCUCCUCCACUUUUCUGUCUCCUCUCAGAAUAUUCACUUAUCCGCUCAACAGAUGAACACCCAGAUCCUGCAUCACAUGCUGAACAGACAUUUCUUACCCUUGAAGGAGUGAAAAAAGUUUUCCCUCUCUUACAGUGAAACUGAGGCCCAGAGAGAUUAAGUGACCUGCCAGAGCCCUGAGGUAACACAGCAAAUAUUUAAGCUUUGCAGUGGCAACGUUCUUACCACUAGCUAAAAUAGCUUCUCAUUUUAUUUUUAUUUUGGUAUAUCCCAGCAUAAUGGCUCACCUAUGACUGUCAGGAAAUGUGUUCUGGGCUCAAGGUCUCCCUUCAGGCCAGGGCGGGGUGGUGAAGCAAGUUGUUUGGAUUCAUCAGGCAUAAAGGAGCCUUUUCCCGCUGAGGGUACAGCCUGGCGUCACUGUCACGCACCUCUCCGCCCAGCCAAGACCUUGCUCAGUUCCACCGGACACCUCCACAGCCCAUAGGAAGGGCAGUGCAGAGUUCAGUGCUAACCCCCCAUGCCAGGUGGAAAAACGGACAUCCUCGUGCCUUCCCUGCCGAAUUUCAAAGAAAAAAGUCACUUGAAAAUAUUCUAUAGAAAGGGGAGGAAGGGAGGGAGGAAAGAAACAAUGCCCUACAACACACAAGGUGGGGCCCAAUAAAUAUUUGUUGGAAAGGAACCGUUCUGGGAAAGUCACAAAGAUCCCCUGUAGGACAAGCCCGUUUACAGAUGAAAAAAAGAGAUCGUUUCUAGGCAGUUGUUUGCUCCCGGGGGAAGGAAGAGUCCUCGUCUAUGCCGUCCCGCGUCCCUCAGCUCCCUGGCGCGCGCUACUCCCACUCCACCCCAGCCAGGGGCCCCUUCCCGACCCUCGGCCCCCCCGGGAUCGCGGCGGCGGCCCCUGGGGUACUCUCUCCCUCCGGCCCUCACCAGCUCCGCCCGAGCAGGGAAACGUGCCACCUCAGAGCACAUCUCCCCGGGUCUUGGCAAAAGCUCUGGGGCCUGCACUACGCGGAAAGAAGGGCCUCGGAAGUCAGGCUUUUCGCCUCAACCCUGUAGCCAGGCACCCUGGGGUUGGAGCCCAGGCCUUAAGAGAGUGCCCUCCGCCUUGGAACCCCGGAGGACCGGCGUGGCGACUGCGCGAGGCCGCGGAAAACGCCCAACACCAGGCCGCCCUCCCAGUGUGGCGCCCAGGAAAAGGGAGCAUCUGUUCCGAGCCGGCCGAGCGGGGGCGGGUCCCUCCUCCUCCGAGCGCCCGGGCCGGGGCCCGGCCGGGGGCUCGGCCGGCUCAGCCAAUGGGCG